rnacentral:lncRNA from 1 species
CUCCAAAUUUGAUAAGGGAGCAAGGAGCAACAUUAUUUUUAACAUCCCUCUAAUGUGUGCAUCACAAGUCAUAAUGCAAGCUAUAUUGGGUCUGCCUUUGCUGGAGGACAAGUCAAACACAGUAUGAUCUUGAUGUUGGUCUUGAACUGAUUACAUUGAAUUGGCUUAUAAUGUAACAUACUGUGUAUCAGUUAUUUCGUAAGUGUUAAGCUGUUCUAAUUUGUUACGACAGACUUGUUGUAUCUUACUUUGACCUAAAUGCCUGGUGCAUUAUUGUUCUUUUUUGUUUUUAUUGUGUUUAUAUUUGACACAAAUUAAUAUUUGGCAUUAAUUUCACUUAAUAUUUUGGCAGUGAUGAAUUGGACCAAAGAGAGCUUUAUCGUGCAAGGUACUGGGUAUCACUAUUAUGCUAGCGACUUGUUUCACAACCGUUAUCAACUGGUCUAGACUCUGAAUGUAAGAAAAGUGGCUUGUUUAGAAAUGAUC